UGCCUUCACCCCGAGUCUCCCCCUCGUGCAGAGAUGAGCCUGGCUCCAGCUGACAAAGCGACCUCACUACAAGGCUGAGCUUUCCCCUGAUGUACACCACAACAUUUUGCUCCAUCCUCUAGAAGCUCUUCACAAACAGGAAUUAUUUUUGCCAACUCUCUAUUCCCAUAAGCUGUUUGUUACGCUUUUGGAGCACUCGGAAAUUUCAUCUUAUUUCCAGGGGUUUAUCACCUUCCAAAACUGCUCCCUCCCAAGCCAUUAUUUCUCACCCUGGCAUUCAGCCUGGAGGGAUGCCUGUCACAGAAGACCGAACGCCUGGAUGGGAUUUUUGGUGAAAGCAGGAUCGAGACCUUGAGCUGGGCAACAUCAGGAGCCGGGGACGUGCGGCUGCAGCACCACCUCUGGCUCUCUCCCUUCGGUAGAUUAAUUUCAUCCCUAUGCAGCAGCACACCAGAAGCAAACUGACGCAUGCUCAGAAAAACGCUACAGAGUGGGAAGAGACGGCUUCUCCUCCAGGAAAGCUUCUAGUUUUUAUGCCAAAUUUUAUCCCUAUUUUCCUGGGAACGACCUGUGUACACACACAGGGGGUUGGGGUCUUUCAAACGUAUACUCAUGCAGGAGGUAAGUGCAGCCAGGGGGACGCAGCUACAGUUUGCUCUGGGAAUCCUAACCGAAUUCCCCGACUUCUGAGUCAAUUUAAGAUUUUUAAUUGCUGCAAAGGAGGCUGUUGGGUUUCUUUCCCUCAAUCAUUUUAAUGGAAGAUUCUAACUUCCCCAGAAUCUCAGGAGGUUGGGUAAUUAUUUACCUUCCCUCUUCCCUUUAGGAAAUUUCAAAGGGUGAUUUUUUACUCUCUUUGCAUAGGGCUUAGAGUCUGAGCAAGGGAACUGCUGUAAAUUGAUAGCUAGUGUUAAUUAUUCAUACGCCGUGUUAAAACCCUCUCGAGUACUCAGCAGAAAUUGAAAAUUAAAUUAUAAGUUUGGUUACUUUCAGAUUUAGGACUUCUUACUGGACAUUUACCACCAAGAAUACCCCAUGGCAACUGCCUGGCACUGAAGCUGUGCAGACACAGAGGGACCCAGAGCCAAGUCUGGCUUUGCACAAGGGCUGAGCACAAACCCUGCAACUCACCUAGGGCAGAGCCAGCUCUGCACAGGCUUCUUUGAAGGCUGAGGGUCCUUGGGAGAUAAUUAGUGGGAUGGUUUUGAGCAAAUCUAUAGGGCAAUGCAAUUUGGACAGCUGAGUUUGGACAUUUGGGCCAAACUCCUGAGUGCACAAGUCUCACUAAGGGGACGGUGACACGAUUAGUUUCACAGAUGCCACACUUCGUGCUCCUGAGGCAAACUCAGCUCUUACAGACUUUGUUUUACCUUGCCACCAGCUCCUCCUAGCUUUGUAGGACAGCUCAUGGUGGUGACCACGGCUGAGAGGGGAGCACGAGAGGGCUCAGCAGCUGCACCACGCUCACAGCUCCUCUCUCCUGUGAUGGAUCCCUGCUGCAAUCCAAGCCAGAGCCAGACCGAGCCUCUAAGCAGCAACUGCAACGCAUACUGCAAGCAGCUCUUCUAAAAACCCUGCCUGCAUCAGCCAUACACGUCCCCCAUAUAGUGAGUGAAGAGCUGCGAGUACUUAAAAAAAAAUUUAAAAAAAGUCAGUGGGAGAGGUAAUUCUUCAAAGCUACAGCCCCAGGAAAGAAUCACAUGAAACAUGGCUAGCAGGACACCUCCAGAGGUCACCUCAUCCAUUUCUCUAUCACAGUGAAGGAUCCAGGAGGAUGUGUGCCUGUUAAAAACUCCCCUAAUGACUCCACAAUGGGCUCGAGAGAUUCUCUGCCUUUAACAGCGAGCACAGCCCUGCCUGAAGCAGUUGAAGCCCAUUAGUUCCUGUCCUGUUCGAGGGGCCACCAAAACUAAUGUGGGCUGGGAGAGCCCGUGAGCUUUUCCAGCCUUGCU